AGUAACACGUGAGUGACCUGCCUUUUAGACUGGAACAACUUACCGAAAGGUGAGCUAAUGCCGGAUGAGUUAUAUAAGUGCAUGUUUAUAUAGGAAAAGUUGGGGAGACCUGACGCUGAAAGAUGGACUCGCGUCCCAUUAGCUAGUUGGUAGGGGUAAUGGCCUACCAAGGCGACGAUGGGUAGCCGGCCUGAGAGGGGUGGCCGGCCACAUGGGACUGAGACACGGCCCAGACUCCUACGGAAGGCAGCAG
rnacentral:rRNA from 1 species